rnacentral:rRNA from 1 species
UCUACGGGAGGCAGCAGUAGGGAAUUUUCGGCAAUGGGGGGAACCCUGACCGAGCAACGCCGCGUGAAGGAAGAAGGAAUUCGUUCUGUAAACUUCUGUUAUAAAGGAAGAAAGACGGAUGGAGGAAAUGACAUCCGAGUGACGGUACUUUAUGAGAAAGCCACGGCUAACUACGUGCCAGCAGCCGCGGUAAUACGUAGGUGGCAAGCGUUAUCCGGAAUUAUUGGGCGUAAAGAGGGAGCAGGCGGCAGCAAAGGUCUGUGGUGAAAGACUGAAGCUUAACUUCAGUAAGCCAUAGAAACCGGGCAGCUAGAGUGCAGGAGAGGAUCGUGGAAUUCCAGGUGUAGGAGUGAAAUCCGUAGAUAUCUGGAGGAACAUCAGUGGCGAAGGCGACUAUCUGGCACAUAACUGACGCUGAGGAGCGAAAGCGUGGGUAGCAAACAGGAUUAGAUACCCGAGUAGUC